UACAGAGGUCCCAAGCGUUGUUCGGAUUUACUGGGCGUAAAGGGUGCGUAGGCGGUGGGGUAAGUUUGAGGUGAAAGCUCCGGGCUCAACCCGGAAACUGCCUUGAAAACUAUCCGGCUAGAGGGUUGGAGAGGAGAGCGGAAUUCCCAGUGUAGCGGUGAAAUGCGUAGAUAUUGGGAGGAACACCGGUGGCGAAGGCGGCUCUCUGGACCGGUACUGACGCUGAGACGCGAAAGCCAGGGGAGCAAACGGG
rnacentral:rRNA from 1 species